rnacentral:rRNA from 1 species
ACGCUCGACACCUACGGGAGGCAGCAGUAGGGAAUCUUCCACAAUGGACGCAAGUCUGAUGGAGCAACGCCGCGUGAGUGAAGAAGGUCUUCGGAUCGUAAAACUCUGUUGUUAGAGAAGAACACGAGUGAGAGUAACUGUUCAUUCGAUGACGGUAUCUAACCAGCAAGUCACGGCUAACUACGUGCAAGCAGCCGCGGUAAUCUGAGCGGGCUGGCAAGGC